CAGUAGCCGCGGUAAUACGUAGGUGGCAAGCGUUAUCCGGAAUUAUUGGGCGUAAAGCGCGCGUAGGCGGUUUUUUAAGUCUGAUGUGAAAGCCCACGGCUCAACCGUGGAGGGUCAUUGGAAACUAGAAAACUUGAGUGCAGAAGAGGAAAGUGGAAUUCCAUAUGUAGCGGUGAAAUGCGCAGAGAUAUGGAGGAACACCAGUGGCGAAGGCGACUUUCUGGUCUGUAACUGACGCUGAUGUGCGAAAGCGUGGGGAUCAAACAGGAUUAGAUACCCGCGUAGUCCCUGUCUCUUAUAC
rnacentral:rRNA from 1 species